ACAAUUCACACGAUAUGUCAAUAGCAGCUCAAAUGCAUAUAUACAAAUCUAUUGUCUGAGAAUAUACAGUUGAAAUUAAACUACAUUGAAUAUAAUAUAGUGAAACAAAAUUUUUAAAUACAGUAGUAAAUGUGUUAAUCAAGUUCAUUUGACUUUUCAAUUUUUGAAGAUCAACAAAAAAUGCAGGAAAGUUAACACAAGUAAAUAAACACCAAAAUCACCCUCUUCUUUCUAUCCUCACUGAUGUAAACAGACCAACAUAACAGAGGCAGUAAAACGUGAGAAUCAAAAUCUAAACCAACUCCGACUCUCUUUUUGCUAGUUACUCUUUCUUCUUGUUUUCAUAAAAUGCAACGCAAACUCAGAUUUGCAGAAAAAGAAACGAAUCGAAGUUGAACUUCAAACUUUCUCAAAAAAUGAAAACAAAAAUCACAAAUCAAAAUGCCACAAGGGAUGAGGAUAGAAAUAUGAACCUUUGAUUUGAUGGCGGUGAGUUAACUAGGUGAUCUCUGUAGACUUCAUGAUGAUCGACGAUGGGCGUUGUAGAAGUACGGUCACAACGAGCUUUCCGGCGGCGACACGGCGUUACUAUGAAGCGAUUGUUUCGUCGACGAUGAUAGUGGUUCAGCAGUGCCUUGUUGUUGCGGCGGGUUUCUCACGGUGGCGAUUGCGAGUGAAGAAGAAGACAACUGGGUUUGUUGUCAGUGGUUAAAGGUGGCGGAGCAGAGUGAAUGUCGUGUGGUGAUGGUGAAUGCCGCGGUGAGUACGGCGAAGGGUUUGUGGAGGUUGGAGCGGCGUUACGGUGAAGUAAGGUCGCGGUGGCAGAUGGUGGUUGUGUGGAUCGCGGAAUGUGAGGGGGAAGAAGGAGGUAGGCGUGAGAUGAGGUGAAGAGAGAUGUCUGUGUGUGUGUUUUUUUCAGAAGGGGAACAGUGAGUGAAGGGAGUAGUAUUAGGUGAAGUCUUUUUAUUAUUAUUAUUUUUUGUAACGUUGGCAGGAGAGAGUGAAUAAAAGGUGAGGCGGUAAUGAGUGUGAGAGAGGGA
rnacentral:lncRNA from 1 species